rnacentral:rRNA from 1 species
UACAGAGAUCCCAAGCGUUGUUCGGAUUCACUGGGCGUAAAGGGUGCGUAGGUGGUUGCGCAAGUCUGAUGUGAAAUCUCCGGGCUCAACCCGGAAAUGGCAUUGGAAACUGCGUGGCUAGAGGGUUGGAGGGGGGACUGGAAUACUUGGUGUAGCAGUGAAAUGCGUAGAUAUCAAGUGGAACACCAGUGGCGAAGGCGAGUCCCUGGACAACACCUGACACUGAGGCACGAAAGCUAGGGGAGCAAACAGG